rnacentral:rRNA from 1 species
AUUGAACGCUGGCGGCAGGCCUAACACAUGCAAGUCGAGCGAGCGGCGGACGGGUGAGUAAUGUCUGGGAAACUGCCUGAUGGAGGGGGAUAACUACUGGAAACGGUAGCUAAUACCGCAUACCAUCAGAUGUGCCCAGAUGGGAUUAGCUAGUAGGUGGGGUAACGGCUCACCUAGGCGACGAUCCCUAGCUGGUCUGAGAGGAUGACCAGCCACACCGGGACUGAGACACGGCCCGGACUCCUACGGGAGGCAGCAGUGGGGAAUAUUGCGCAAUGGGGGCAACCCUGACGCAGCCAUGCCGCGUGAAUGAAGAAGGCCUUCGGGUUGUAAAGUUCUUUCGGUGACGAGGCGUUAAUCACAGAAGAAGCACCGGCUAACUCCGUGCCAGCAGCCGCGGUAAUAC